AGUGAACGCUGGCGGUAGGCCUAACACAUGCAAGUCGAACGGCAGCACAGUAAGAGCUUGCUCUUACGGGUGGCGAGUGGCGGACGGGUGAGGAAUACAUCGGAAUCUACUUUUUCGUGGGGGAUAACGUAGGGAAACUUACGCUAAUACCGCAUACGACCUACGGGUGAAAGCAGGGGAUCUUCGGACCUUGCGCGAUUGAAUGAGCCGAUGUCGGAUUAGCUAGUUGGCGGGGUAAAGGCCCACCAAGGCGACGAUCCGUAGCUGGUCUGAGAGGAUGAUCAGCCACACUGGAACUGAGACACGGUCCAGACUCCUACGGGAGGCAGCAGUGGGGAAUAUUGGACAAUGGGCGCAAGCCUGAUCCAGCCAUACCGCGUGGGUGAAGAAGGCCUGCGGGUUGUAAAGCCCUUUUGUUGGGAAAGAAAAGCAGAGGUUAAUACCCCGCUGUUCUGACGGUACCCAAAGAAUAAGCACCGGCUAACUUCGUG
rnacentral:rRNA from 1 species